CCUGUCAAGCAAACCAUGAAGGAAGUGCUGGAAGUAUGGAGACGGUUGGUCUAUACCCAGGGUUCGUAAGGUCGCAACCAAAAAGAGGCUUGAAGUACCUGCAAUACUACGAUGAUAGUGAUUCUAAGAGCUAUGCCACUGUGAAAGACAUGUAUGGAAAGGACAGUGUCCAGAAACUCGAAUGCAUUGGGCAUGUCCAGAAGCGUGUUGGCUGCCGCCUCGGAAAACUGAAGAAGACAGUGCGUGGACUCGGUGGUAAGGGAAAGCUCACUGAUGCCCUCAUUGACCGCCUGCAAAACUACUAUGGCAUCGCUAUAAGGACUAAUGUGGGGAACCUUUCUGCAAUGAAACAGGCUACCCUUGCCAGUCUUUUUCAUUCCAGCUCUACCGACAAGUACCCGAGACAUGGCUUGUGCCCACUUGGACCGAACAGCUGGUGUGGGUACAGAAGGGUCGAAGCACUCGGCCGAGGGAAGUAUGUGCACAAAGGAGCACUUCCAAAUGAUGUACUCAACAGAGUUAAAACUGUGUACAAUAAUUUGUGCUCUGAUGAACUUCUCAUGAAGUGCCUGAAUGGUAAGACACAAAAUGCAAAUGAGUGCUUCAAUGGUCUAAUAUGGCAGCGGGCUCCCAAAGAUGUCUAUGUAAGCUUGCCUACAAUAAUGUUUGCCUUGCAUGAUGCUGUGGCACACUUUAAUAAUGGCAGUGUAAGCACCUGAGAUAUCCUGAGGCAAGCUGGCAUAGAACCAGGGUACUACACGACGAAAGCUUGCAUCGCCAGGGAUCACCAGCACAUGCAGAAUGCUAAACGCAAGUCAGCGGAUGGGACAAAACAGACCAGGAAGAAAAGACGAGCAGCCAC